UAAAGAAAUCAAACCAAUGUGCUCAGUUUUCAAAGGGUUAAGGUGCAUUGCCAUUACUAAAGAAACGGACCUGUGGACAUCCUGUAAGUAUUCUGCAGAGCGCUGAGACAACAGCUCGCACAAAGCAAACAGACAUUCAUCUAAAUCCAUUCAGUGAUCUGACAACACGAGCAGAUUAUGCAGAAAAGAAACCAGAUUAAAUCAUGUACCUGUGAAACAUCUCAGCAGUUUAUUUGACUGUAAAAAAAGAAGAAGAAGAAGAGCAUAGUGUUUGGCAUGACAACAGAAACAACCCCAGAUGUUUUUUGUCACAGACGCUGCCUCACCUUUAUCAUCAUGAGGAUCCUCAGCUGUAAAUGUGAAAAGAGGCGAGUUUCUCUUCAUCCUUAAACCUCAGUCCUCUCGUAUCCUCACCCCUCCUCUCUGAUCCUUCUCUCCAACCUUGUAUGUUUUCUAAUGGCACAUUUCCGCACAAUCAACAGAAAAAAAACGGUCACAUGGGUGUUGAGGGCAUUCAAUGAGUCACAUGGGAUGACACUUAAAGGUAUACUCUGCAGGAUUGUCCUAAAAAACAAAACAACAUAUAGACUGACUCAUACAUUAGUGACUGCUCUCCAUCAUUAUGACCCACUACAACAGUGUGGUUGAGUAUUUAUCUCUGUUUACAAACCGUAAGCAACAAUUCCUGCAUGGUGUACCUUUAAAGGAACAGUUCACCUCAAAAUCAAAAAUACAUAUUUUUUUCUUACCUGCAGCGUAGUUUAUCUGUUUAGAUUGUUUUUCUGUGAGUUGCCGAGUGUUGGAGAUAUCAGCUGUAGAGAUGUCUGUCUUCUCUCCAGUAUAAUGUUACUAACUACAUGUGCUCAGCUCAAAGUGCCAAAAAAAGCAUUUGAAAAACUUUAGAGCAAUGUCUCUUUCCAGAAAUCAGGACCUGGUUAGUAACAGUGACUUUUAUGGUAUAAAUUAAAAAAAAUAUCAGCUGAUAUAUGUCUGCACUGCUGAUAGAAGUCACCGAUGGCGUACCUUGCAACAGACAUUUAAAACAGUUAAAAAACACUUCCUUGUCUCCUGCAUUUUCAUGUACUGAAUACUGACUUUCCCUGCCAAGGACUUAGUUGAUUAUCAGUUUGACUCAUAUAUUGGUAGUGUUUUCGACAGAGUUCACUGCUGAUACAGAGGUAAAUAGAACAUCAAAAAUGGAUCUAGUGUCUGGAUGAUUGGUUUAGUGAGUAAGUCAAGUGGUUAGUGUAUCAGAAGUUGCUGGUUCAAGUCUUGUUUGGAACAUUUAACUUUUAUGAUAUAAAUAAAAUAAAAUAUCAGUUAAUAUAAGUCUGCUCUGCUGAAAGAAGUCACCGAUGGCGUACCUUGCAACAAACAUUUAAAACAGUUAAAAAACACUUCCUUGUCUCCUGCAUUCUCAUGUACUGAAUACUGACUUUCCCUGCCAAGGACUUAGUUGAUUAUCAGUUUGACUCAUAUAUUGGUAGUGUUUUCAAGAGUUCACUGCUGAUACAGAGGUAAAUAGAACAUCAAAAAUGGAUCUAGUGUCUGGGUGUUUGGCUUAGUGGAUAAGUCAGGGGGUUAGUGUGCCAGAGGUUGCUGGUUCAAGUCUCACCUAGAACAGGUGACAUUUAAUUACUUAAGCAGAUGAAUACAUCAGCCAAUAUUUUAUUUUAUUUAUGCCAUAAACUAUCAUUUAGCUGUAGAUUAAUAAUUAAGCACGUAAAGUUGAGUGAAAUAACGUUUUUGCCAAGAAAUCAGGUGAAGUGGUCCAAAAACAGGUAAAACCAGUAUCGGCAGUGACGUCUGUUGAAAACUUGACUGAUAUAGCCAAUGGUACCUGUAGUACCUUUGGCUUGUUUUUGGUCAGCGCUCUACUUGGGGAACCCGGCAUACAGAUCUGAUACUAACAGGUGGAGUUAAAAACACUGCAGUCGGUUGAUUGGUCAGUAGAGAAUCAACACAAGAUUUUCUUAUAUUAGGAAACUAUUACUAUAAAAUGAAAGGAUGCUUGUAGCCUCUAGCAGCAGAUGUAGGCUAAGAAAAAAAAACUUAAGUCAGAGGACCAACUGCUGGCAAGUUUUAAGAUGGAAUUUAAUCUUUACUCGAAGAAAAAAAACAAACAUGUAGGACUGUCGGAGCUUUUUGAGUUACGUUAGAGAAUAAAUGGGAAAAAAAAUACGGUCUAUAUGCUGCAUUUGUCUGCUAUGACAAGACAAUGUCAAGACACAAGUUUCAAGUAACAAGCCCAUUUAAAUUUUGGUAAUUGUAAUUGUGUUAUUUAAUGUAAAAAGUAAUUAGUUCCAUGUUUAGUUACUGCCAAACGUAGGGGAACUACAGUAACACUGGUGCAAGUUGAGCAAAUAGUAGAUGCAUGCUUCCCCAUGAGAGAUCUGUGGAUUAUCUUGAGUAACCAGGUCCUGAUUUUCUGGAAAGAGACAUUGAUGUUGAAGUUUAAAGUUUUUUUAAAUACAUUUUUGAAACUUUGAGCUCCACAGGCUGAUUGCAAUCUAGAUCCAAUAUACUGGAGAGAAGGCAGACAUCUCUACAGCCAGUCGAGAACGAUAAACAGCACUACAGAGAAGAGGAAACGUAUGUAUUUUUUAAUUUUUUGGGUUGAACUGUCUCUUAAAGUUUUAGUAGUAGUGUGUGAAGAUAAUGGUUGCAGCUGUAUAGUACAUAAAUGAAACCGAAACCAUCAGAGUGGACCAGUGCAAAGUUUAUCUCAUUCUACAGACCCAAAGCAGCAAAUGUUUGGACUGAAUGCCGAGUUUCUCUUUUUGUUUUCAAUCAGGAAACUAAAAGCAAAACAAACUAAAUUAAAGGAUAAUGCAGGUGCAAAUAUAUAUAUUUUCCCAUGACAAGACCAAAAUCAUCAAUGAACUGAUCAUGCCACCAAGUGUUCAGCAUAUUUAUAAAUAAUUUAAUAAUUCUUCUACCUAAUGUGACUUUAAAUUACCUUUAGAUCUUUAAAACCUUUAAUGAAUAAAAUGUUCAAAUCAAACAGAAAAAAUAUUUUGCUUUUUGUUAUUUCAUUUACAGAUGUGCCUGCCUAAUAUAUUCCUUCCAGCAGUGUGUUAAUUCCCCACUUCACAUUCACAGUUUCCAUUUCAAGAUUAGUUUUUAUUAAAAAAUCAAAUUAAGGUCCCACCUACAGAGCAGCUGCAGAGCUCUGAUUGGCCAGACUGAAAACAUUGCAGCUGACCAAUCAGAGCUCCUGCUGCUGCUCUGUGGGUUUUAAUGACAUAAUUUAAUAUUUAAUUAUAUAUGAAUGUUUCAUUAGUUUUUUGAUUUUCUAUUUAGUCUAGAGUCACCAAUUACCAAAAUUAAUUGUAACAACUAUUUGAAGUGUACCAAUUUAUUAAUGAAUUCUUUUUAAACACUGAAGUCUGUUAAUGUUUCAGUGGCACCAUAAAGGCUCCAAACACUGUUUUUCAUUUUGUGUCAAUCCCAGUUAAUACACAAUACCUUAGAGCAAUAAAUGUGUAUUCAAUACACAAAUAGUCCCAAUAAAUGAUUUAUUUGCUUGUGUUUGAGUAGCGUUUGCUAAAAACAACAGUUGUUUCAGUGUUUCAAAGAUUUAUGUCUUCACGGGGAACGCUCGACCCUGAGGGCGCAGUGUGGAGCAGAAAUAGAAAAGUCAGAUAAUCGCUCAAGAUUUUCUGACAAUUUGAUGAUUUUGUUCUUUUCAUGAGAACCACAAAAUAUCAAAUAAUGCUAGUGUUAAAAGAAACACCAUUUGUAUAUAACCUCACUGCGUGUAACCUUGAAUUUGUUGAGAAAAUGUUUUUGUCCUCCACAGUGAACAGAGAGUCCAAAAAAGGUAAAUGUUCAGGGUCUGCAUUUAACGAAAUUAAAACUAUAUAAAAACAUCAGUUUACAAACUCUCACACAACUCUUGCAGUAUUAUCGAAGUCUCCAGUGGUCCCUUAAAAAGUAUUAAAAGCAUUGAAUUUAUUCAUGUAAAGAUCUUAAGUCUGAUAUCAGUCGUUCAAACGUCCUAAAAAGGCGUGAUGGGAAGUAUAAUUUUACGCAUUUUUUUUUUUGCUGUUACACUGUGAGGUCCAAAAAUAAUUGGUGACAUCUAUAAUUUUAAAAUGCGUUACCUAAUGCCUCUUGCAUUGAUAACACUUAGCUCGCUGUCACUGUACUCUGCACAUGGAAGUGAAAGGUGAAAAGAAGUGAAAAAUUGGCUUUUUUUAAGAAACCAAGCUUUAUAAGCAUGCCUGAAAUCGGUACAGUGCAAUUCAUAUGAAGCUUUUGCAUAUUUUAUGCAAAAACAUUUUUCAAACACAAAUUGAGGCAGUGAAAUGUGAGAUGUGAGUGAGAAACGCAAAUUUGUCAAAACCUCCCACCACAAAUGGCAGCUAUUUCCCAGCUCGUCUCUAUCCGUGUCUUUGCCACGAAACAAGAAAGUCAUGAUUUUUGCUUGACUUUUUUUUUUCCCUGUCAUUUUGGUUGUUUUUUAUUCAGAGUGGUAUUAAAAAAGUCUUAAAUCUAAAUUAACCCUCAGCUGUAGUAGCUUAUGCUCAGUACCUAAACACAUGCAUUUUUACUUAAACACUCUGAUUUAAAACAGUACAGUCUCGUGCAGGGUCAUGUAGUGUGCUGCCUGAAGGGGGAAGUGUUUUAAAUUGUAAUGCUUUAAUUAAAAUGCGUGUUUUUGGGAAGUACUGAGAAUACCACUGGAUAAAUGAGACUUGGAUUAUACUAAACGAGUUGUGUGAGAGUUUAAUAUUCGAUAUCGUGUGGCUUUUUAAACACAGACUCCUACGACUACGAUUCAUAAAGAAUGUAAACCUUUUUUGGAUUCUCUUUUCAUUGUGGAGGAGGUGAGAAAAACAAAGUUUUAUUCAUGGAUUCAAGGUAACACUUGAUGAGUAAUUAAUACAAAAGGUCACUUUGCAGUUAAAAUGUUCUUUGCAGCCCCUUGCACAAAUGUACUUUAUACAGUAAUAUUCUCGGGUAAAACCUUGACACUCUGUCCAGACAUUCGCUGAUUACUGUUCUCUGUGACUCAGCCAAGACAAACAGAACUAGCUGUAGUGUUUGGAAAUAUCUUAACAAAAAAAACCUCAUUAAAAUCUGUGAAAGUGGCGGGUGAAAGACAGUUUGUCUGAUGACAUGCUGAGUAAUACUGCAGAAAGAAAAAAAAACAACAGUAGAUAAAAGGGCACAUUUCCACACGGGCUCGUCUGUCCCCGUCCACAGGAUGAGCAUCAUCACCGUCGUCAGUAUAGAGUUCAUAUUAAAGGCCUCAUCGGAGAUCGUUGGACAUUCAUUGGGUCGUACCAUCUGAUUGAGCAAGCAAGAAGGGGGGUGUGGAGCGAUGCAGGGAGGGGUGGACGGCUGAAAGCACUGGAGUGCAAAAAGACAGAUGCAUUCGCCUCCUCUAGUCUGUCAUUCAAAGUGCGCGCUCUCCGGGUUUGACAGAAAUGAUCAGAAACAUCUGAUCAGCUUAAUUGCUUACUUCCUGCACAAAAGAAAAACUUCAGCAUUCAGGUGCGUCGAUCUGCUGAAGCCAAACAGGACGUCAGCUGCGGCGUUUUGCUAGGACCAGCGAGGACUCGUGAAAAUCCCGACAUGAGUCAUACAGUAUGUACAUCUGAAUACACGUCGGUGUUUAUAGAUAGCUCUCUAAUAUAUUAAUGUACAAAAUAUAGAAUCUUAAAAUAUCUGAUAGGGUUUGGUGUUCUGAAGUCAAAAUACAAAAUGCCGAAGAUUAGAAAAGCUCUUCAUUGACAUCCUCUUUGUGUUUCGUGUGUGUAUAUGUCGUCGAUACUGUUGUGUAAGUUUGUGGAUUUUUACGAGAAGCUUCCUGUAAACACUGCGGAGCGUUUCUCUCUGUGCGUACAAUAAAUCAGUUUGAACUGUCUCUGAGGGACAUUCUCAACCUCUUUGUCAAUCGUUAGGCUGAAUUCACAUCAAAUCUGCGUCAAAUAGUUGCGAGGUUUUUGGCAGUGGGAGUGUCCCUUAAUGGCUCAUUUUCGGGGGACUGGAGGGUGGAGAGAAAGCCAGUUUCCCCAACUCAGCAGCUGAUUAUUGGUCUUCAGUACAUUUGUUUGUGUUGACUCAGUAGAAUUCCUUUAGACUAUCAUCGCUGUAUUUUUACCGCCACAAAAGACGUGCGUACACACAAAGCGAGUGCUCUCCUCUGAGGGCUCUUUUGGGAUUAUUGUGGCCUGAAAUGCCUCAUUUUACUGCAGCUUUUCCAAAAAAAUUGCCAUACAAGUUACAGUAUUUAAAGAUUUAAAAUAAAUUAAAUUGAAAUUGAAACUGCAAAAUAUUUGCGAUGCUGUCUGAGAUUUGGGGCUUUUUCUUAUGAGCAUUUAGUAUUUCCCAUAGAACUAGGAUCGGUCUGUGCUGGUAGAGCUGCAGCGGGACCGUCUGUGGGCUGCUCUCAUCCCGCUGUCUCUCACGUUUUUCGCAGCACCGGUGUCUUUUUAUUCAAUUGUUCCUUUUGAGGUUGGCAGCAUGCAGCUGCAUGUGCCGCCUAAAGAAAAAGCGCUGAGCUCGGUGUCUUUCCAGAGCACUCUGCCUUUUUUGACGGCCGCUCAGCACUUCAAGUCAAAAAUCUCUCUUUUUAUUUUCUGUUUUUUUUUAGAAAAGCGCUGGUGAUGUUAUUGCCGCUUUUCAGCGAGACUACCGUCACAACAGAGAAAGAAAAGUCCAUGUGCGGGAGAAGAUCGGCCGGCGGACGCUGGAUGUUACCGGGGACUGCAGACCUGUACCAGCAGCAGCAGCAGCUAUUUGAGCAACCGUUGACCAGAAACCACAUGCUGAGGAGUGGAAAUUCCCCAACUGCAGGAGGAGGAAGCUUCUACCUGAACAUGACACCCCAAAGAAAAGGAAGUUUCUACAAAAUCCCUGGGCCAGCCAAUGAGAAGAGACAAAGAGUGGAGAGAGUGAUGAUGGACCUCCUGAUAAAAGAGGAACAAAGGAUUACUGUGAGAUUUUUUUUCGCUCUUGACGCUUUUGAUUCAUUAUGUGCCUGUGUGUUUUUUCAUUAUCUGGCUUAGA